rnacentral:rRNA from 1 species
ACGCACGCUGGCGGCGUGCUUCACCCAUGCAAGUCGAACGGAAAGGCCCUGCUUUUGUGGGGUGCUCGAGUGGCGAACGGGUGAGUAACACGUGAGUAACCUGCCCUUGACUUUGGGAUAACUUCAGGAAACUGGGGCUAAUACCGGAUAGGAGCUCCUGCUGCAUGGUGGGGGUUGGAAAGUUUCGGCGGUUGGGGAUGGACUCGCGGCUUACCAGCUUGUUGGUGGGGUAGUGGCUUACCAAGGCUUUGACGGGUAGCCGGCCUGAGAGGGUGACCGGCCACAUUGGGACUGAGAUACGGCCCAGACUCCUACGGGAGGCAGCAGUGGGGAAUAUUGCACAAUGGGCGGAAGCCUGAUGCAGCAACGCCGCGUGCGGGAUGACGGCCUUCGGGUUGUAAACCGCUUUCGCCUGUGACGAAGCGUGAGUGACGGUAAUGGGUAAAGAAGCACCGGCUAACUACGUG